ACGGUAAGGUCUCUUCGGAGAUACACGAGUGGCGCACGGGUGAGUAACGCGUAUGCAACCUACCCUUGACUGGGGGAUAGCCCGGAGAAAUUCGGAUUAAUACCCCAUAAGAUCCUGGCAACGCCUGUUGCAGGGAUAAAAACUCCGGUGGUUAAGGAUGGGCAUGCGUGACAUUAGCUAGUUGGUGAGGUGACUGCUCACCAAGGCGACGAUGUCUAGGGGGCCUGAGAGGGUGAUCCCCCACACUAGUACUGAGACACGGACCAGACUCCUACGGGAGGCAGCAGUGAGGAAUAUUGCGCAAUGGACGAGAGUCUGACGCAGCCAUGCCGCGUGCAGGAUGACGGCCCUAUGGGUUGUAAACUGCUUUUUUACAGGAAGAACUCCCUUUACGUGUAGAGGGCUGACGGUACUGUAUGAAUAAGCAUCGGCUAACUCCGUGCCAGCAGCCGCGGUAAUACGGAGGAUGCAAGCGUUAUCCGGAUUUAUUGGGUUUAAAGGGUGCGUAGGCGGAAUAGUAAGUCAGUGGUGAAAUCUUGCAGCUUAACUGUAAAAUUGCCAUUGAUACUGUUAUUCUUGAGUGCGAUUGAAGUAGGCGGAAUGUGUAAUG
rnacentral:rRNA from 1 species